rnacentral:lncRNA from 1 species
CCACAUUCAGACGGCAGGGAAUUUCCUGAUAAUUCUGACCCACACCGCACCGUACGUUGUCAUCAUCAGGUUACUUUAGCUGUUUUGCAUGAAGUUAAUCAGAGGCAUCCGCUACGGUACUAAUUAAUUCAUUAAUGCAUGCAAAAAUGGGAUGAUGAAAAUGUUGAAUCAGUUGAUCAACUGCUUAAUUAUCUUGUACUCCAUCGACACUAAUCAACAUUUCUAUACAUGCUGAUUCUUAAUUUGUACCGUUAAGCUUAUCGGAAACUCUCUUUCAUUUUACCUGAGAAGGGAAACUGACAUUCCAAGACAUGCCUGCGUUUUGGUGCACCGUCAUAUCACACGUACCGUCGCCCAGCACAAAAAAAAAGACCACCGGCUGGUGAAGACAAAUAUCGUCCAUGUGCUUAAAUAUUCCUCCAGAUCCAACAAGCAUUUCCUAGGAUGAAUAGAAAAUAGAAAGAAAGGUAAAAAAAACCAUCAACUUGCACCGAUGGAUCGAUACAACCACUCGCAUCCCAGCAGCAGCAGCAGCUAGGCCCUAUGGAUUGGAUCGCAGGAUCGAGCAGAUCAAAGAGCCGGCUGGGGGCAGCAGGAUCUCGGCCCUAUGUGACAUUUUCUAUGUACGUCCACCAACCCAGCCA